rnacentral:rRNA from 1 species
AAUUGAUUAAGCUAGAAAGAGCUUAUGGUGGAUGCCUAGGCAUUCAGAGUUGAAGAAGGACGCGACCGGCUGCGAAAAGCCGUGGGGAGCUGCUAAAUAAGCGUAGAUCCGCGGAUAUCCGAAUGGGGCAACCCACCAGUGUGGAGCACUGGUAUUAUGUGGUGAAAGAAGUAGCCAUGUAAGAACAAGCAGGAGAACUGAAACAUCUUAGUACCCUGAGGAAAAGAAAUCAAAACGAGAUUCCCUUAGUAGCGGCGAGCGAAAGGGGAGAAGUCCAAACACAUUAAGUGUAAGUCUGCAGAUGUUGCUUAAUGUGGGUGUAGGAUAUAACGGCUAAAAGCUGCAGUUUUUAGGUGACUUAAAUUUUUUACCCAGUCGAAUGAGCUGGAAAGCUCAACCGUAGGAGGUAAUAGUCCUGUAGACGAAAGGUAGAAGAAGUCACGGAUAUAUCCAGAGUAUCACGAGACACGAGAAACCUUGUGAGAAUAUGGGAGGACCACCUUCCAAGACUAAAUACUCCUGAAUGACCGAUAGUGAACAAGUACCGUGAGGGAAAGGUGAAAAGAACCCCGGGAGGGGAGUGAAAUAGAAACUGAAACCAUAAGCUUACAACAAGUAGGAGGGCUAUUAAAAAGCCUGACUGCGUACUUUUUGUAUCACGGACCGGCGAGUUACUAAUCGUAGCGAAAGGUUAAGUCAUAGAGAUGAAGCCAGAGCGAAAGCGAGUCUGAUAAGGGCGGAAGUUAUGAUUAGUAGACCCGAAACCGAGUGAUCUAUCCAUGACCAGGGUGAAGCGAGUGUAAGAGCUUGUGGAGGCCCGAACCCACUUAUGUUGAAAAAUGAGGGGAUGAGUUGUGGAUAGGGGUGAAAGGCCAAUCGAACUCGGAGAUAGCUGGUUCUCCUCGAAAUAGCUUUAGGGCUAGCCUCGAUGUAAAAGUUAAACGGUUGUAGAGCACUGAUUGGACAAGGGGCCCAACAAGGUUACCAAAUCCAUUCAAACUCCGAAUGCCGUUUAGUGUUCAUCGGGAGUCAGACUAUGUGGGAUAAGCUUCAUAGUCGAAAGGGAAACAGCCCAGACCACCAGAUAAGGUCCCAAAGUAUAUGCUAAGUGGAAAAGGAAGUGAGAUCGCACAGACAACCAGGAUGUUGGCUUAGAAGCAGCCACUCAUUUAAAGAGUGCGUAAUAGCUCACUGGUUAAGCGGUUUUGCGCCGAAAAUGUAACGGGGCUCAAGCAUAUCACCGAAGCUGUGGAUUUAUGAUUGUAUUUAUAUAAUUGUAAGUGGUAGAGGAGCAUUGUGUACGGAGCGAAGCUGUACCGUAAGGAGCAGUGGACUGUACAGAAGAGAGAAUGCCGGUAUGAGUAACGAAAAAAGGAGUGAGAAUCUCCUUCGCCGAAAGUCUAAGGAUUCCUGGGGAAGGCUCGUCCUCCCAGGGUUAGUCGGGACCUAAGCUGAGGCCGAAAGGCGUAGGUGAUGGAAAAUCUGUAAAGAUUCAGAUACCACUGUAAAUUGAUUGAGUGAAGUGGUAACGCGGCAAAGAGAGUGGAGCGUGUGACUGGAAGAGCACGUAUAAGCUAAGGAGUUAGGGUAAGGAGGUAAAUCCCUUUACCCGCUAAUAACUUUUAGUGAUGUGGAGCCAAAAGAGGUGAAGCCACUUAAUAAGCCGCCAAGAAAAACCACUAACGAGAUUUACAGUGCCCGUACCGCAAAACCGACACAGGUAGACGGGAAGAGAAUUCUAAGGCGCGCGAGAGAACCCUUGUUAAGGAACUCGGCAAAAUGACCCCGUAACUUCGGGAGAAGGGGUACCCAUUAGCACUAGCUGGUGGGUCGCAGUGAAAAGAUCCAAGCGACUGUUUAUCAAAAACACAGGUCUCUGCUAAGUCGUAAGACGAAGUAUAGGGGCUGACGCCUGCCCGGUGCUGGAAGGUCAAGGAGAAGGCUUAGUGCUUAUGCACGAAGGUCUGAACCUAAGCCCCAGUAAACGGCGGCCGUAACUAUAACGGUCCUAAGGUAGCGAAAUUCCUUGUCGGGUAAGUUCCGACCUGCACGAAUGGCGUAACGACUUGGAUGCUGUCUCAACAAGGGACUCGGUGAAAUUAAAUUGCCUGUGAAGAUGCAGGCUACCUGCGACAGGACGGAAAGACCCCGUGGAGCUUUACUGCAGCCUGAUAUUGGGUUUUGAUGUAGAAUGUACAGGAUAGGUGGGAGACUUUGAAGCUGGCAUGCUAAUGUCAGUGGAGUCGCUGGUGGGAUACCACCCUUUCUACAGCGGAAUUCUAACUGGAGGCCAUAAACUGGUCACAGGACAUUGUCAGGCGGGCAGUUUGACUGGGGCGGUCGCCUCCCAAACAGUAACGGAGGCGCUCAAAGGUUCCCUCAGUGCGGAUGGAAAUCGCACGAAGAGUGUAAAGGCAGAAGGGAGCUUAACUGCAAGACAGACAAGUCGAGCAGGUACGAAAGUAGGACUUAGUGAUCCGGCGGUAUAGUGUGGAAUUGCCGUCGCUCAACGGAUAAAAGUUACCCCGGGGAUAACAGGCUUAUCUCCCCCAAGAGUUCACAUCGACGGGGAGGUUUGGCACCUCGAUGUCGGCUCAUCGCAUCCUGGAGCUGAAGCAGGUUCCAAGGGUUUGGCUGUUCGCCAAUUAAAGCGGUACGCGAGCUGGGUUCAGAACGUCGUGAGACAGUUCGGUCCCUAUCCGUCGCAGGCGAAAGAUACUUGAGAAGAGCUGUCCCCAGUACGAGAGGACCGGGAUGGACACACCGAUGGUGAAUCAGUUGUUCCACCAGGAGCAUAGCUGAGCAGCUAAGUGUGGAAAAGAUAAGCGCUGAAAGCAUCUAAGCGUGAAACAGACUUCAAGAUUAGGUAUCUCACUUUGUUAAGAAGGUAAGAUCCCUUAAAGAUGAUAAGGUAGAUAGGCCAGAGGUGUAAGUGUAGUAAUACAUUAAGCUAACUGGUACUAAUAGAUCGAGGGCUUAAUCAU